CAUGUACUCCCUUUGUCCCAAAAUUCUUGUCUUUAAUUUGUCUACAUAUGAAUGUAUACAGUCAUGUAUUAUUAUUUAGAUACAUCUAUUUUUAAAUAAAACUAAGACAAAAAUUUCAGGACGAAGAGAGUACUUG
rfam:Hordeum vulgare subsp. vulgare, WGS project CAJW01000000 data, contig: morex_contig_75376